rnacentral:rRNA from 1 species
UACGGAGGGUGCAAGCGUUGUCCGGAAUUACUGGGCGUAAAGGGCGCGUAGGCGGCCACCGCAAGUCGAUUGUGAAAUCUCCGGGCUUAACCCGGAAAGGUCAACCGAUACUGCGGGGCUAGAGUGCGGAAGGGGCAACUGGAAUUCUUGGUGUAGCGGUGAAAUGCGUAGAUAUCAAGAGGAACACCUGCGGCGAAGGCGGGUUGCUGGGCCGACACUGACGCUGAUGCGCGAAAGCUAGGGGAGCGAACGGG